AUGAGGCAAAAGAUUGUGAUUGAGAUACCACUCCGUUGUGCAAAAUGUAAGAAGAAAAUAUUGACCAUAUGCACCAUUGCCGAUGGUGUUACAUCGGUUAGUUUUGAAAGGGAAGGAAAAGAUACAGUUGUGAUUAAAGGAGAAGAUGUUGAUGCAGCAAGGGUAACAGAAUGUUUGAGGGAGAAAGUCAGCAAGUAUGCUAGACUUGUUACUGUGGCCACAGAUGAAUGA